rnacentral:tRNA from 1 species
CGGGGCGUAGCUUAGCUUGGUAGAGCGCCUGCUUUGGGAGCAGGAGGUCGCGCGUUCAAAUCGCGCCGCCCCGACCA